rnacentral:piRNA from 1 species
UCGUCAGUCACUCUCCCCACU